CCUCAGCACAAAGCAGCCAAUAGAAAUGUGCCGUUGCCAUGCUUCAUCUGAAAGGAAAUGGUCACUCCAUCAGUACAGUGAUAAUAUCUCCAUUAUUCUUGCUACCAAGAUGUAAAGCAGGGCCAUCCAGACGACUCCAGGAGUAUUCAAGCAUAAUCUGUAAAGACCAGAAGGAAAAAUUACAAAUCUUCCCUUUUGUUAUCUUGUAUAAUUCAAUUCUUAUAAAAUCUCGCUCAGACAUCCAAGGAAGGUAUUUGGGCCAUCUUUGGUCUUUCAACCUCUGGUGGAAACUACGAAUGGCAGGAAAUCAUCUUCAUCACAGCGAUGGUCACUUGCUAGCCUGGAAAAUGUACCAAAUCAACUCACCUCAGCGCACAGCAGC
ensembl:lncRNA